rnacentral:rRNA from 1 species
UAAUACAGAGGGUGCGAGCGUUAAUCGGAUUUACUGGGCGUAAAGGGCGCGUAGGCGGUGAUGUGAGUGUGAUGUGAAAGCCCCGGGCUUAACCUGGGAAGUGCAUCGCAAACGACAUUGCUGGAGUAUAAGAGAGGGUGGCGGAAUUUCCGGUGUAGCGGUGAAAUGCGUAGAGAUCGGAAGGAACGUCAAUGGCGAAGGCAGCCACCUGGCUUAAUACUGACGCUGAGGCGCGAAAGCGUGGGGAUCAAACAGGAUUAGAUACCCUGGUAGUCCACGCUGUAAACGAUGAGGACUAGAUGUUGUUUGGGGAACCAAGCAGUAUCGAAGUUAACGCGAUAAGUCUUCCGCCUGGGAAGUACAGCCGCAAGGCUG